AGUCUGGUGCCAGCAGCCGCGGUAAUUCCAGCUCCAAUAGCGUAUAUUAAAGUUGUUGCGGUUAAAAAGCUCGUAGUUGGAUCUCGGUUUCACUCAGGUGGUACACCUUGCGGUGUUCACUAUCUGGGUGGACGUUUCUGUUGGUUCGCUCUUGGUGCUCUUCAUCGGGUGCCAUUUGGUGGCCAGCACGUUUACUUUGAAAAAAUUGGAGUGCUCAAAGCAGGCGUUACAGCCUGAACAUUAGUGCAUGGAAUAAUGGAAUAGGAUCUCGAUUCUAUUUCGUUGGCUUUCGGAGUCGAGGUAAUGAUUAAUAGGGACAGACGGGGGCAUUCGUACUGCGACGUUAGAGGUGAAAUUCUUGGAUCGUCGCAAGACGAACUACUGCGAAAGCAUUUGCCAAGAAUGUUUUCAUUAAUCAAGAACGAAAGUUAGAGGUUCGAAGGCGAUCAGAUACCGCCCUAGUUCUAACCAUAAACGAUGCCAACCGGCGAUCCGUCGUCGUUAAUUGAAUGACUCGACGGGCAGCCUCCGGGAAACCAGAGUGUUUGGGUUCCGGGGGAAGUAUGGUUGCAAAGCUGAAACUUAAAGGAAUUGACGGAAGGGCACCACCAGGAGUGGAGCCUGCGGCUUAAUUUGACCCAACACGGGAAAUCUCACCAGGCCCGGACACCGGAAGGAUUGACAGAUUGAGAGCUCUUUCUUGAUUCGGUGGGUGGUGGUGCAUGGCCGUUCUUAGUUGGUGGAGCGAUUUGUCUGGUUAAUUCCGAUAACGAACGAGACUCUGGCCUACUAACUAGAAGGUCUAUCCUUUAUGGGUAGGCCUCUGCUUCUUAGAGGGACGGGCGGCGUUUAGCCGCACGAGAAUGAGCAAUAACAGGUCUGUGAUGCCCUUAGAUGUUCUGGGCUGCACGCGCGCUACACUGAAGGAAUCAGCAUGUUCUCCCCUCCCUGAAAAGGGCGGGUAACCCGUUGAAACUCCUUCGUGAUGGGGAUUGGAGAUUGUAAUUAUUCUCCAUGAACGAGGAAUUCCCAGUAGGCGCGAGUCAUCAGCUUGCGUCGAUUACGUCCCUGCCCUUUGUACACACCGCCCGUCGCUACUACCGAUCGAGUGAUUUAGUGAGGACUUCGGACUGGUCUUCAAGUUGGCUUCGGUCGGCUCGAAGUUCCGGAAAGAUGCCCAAACUUGAUCACUUAGAGGAAGUAAAAGUCGUAACAAGGUUUCCGUAGGUGAACCUGCGGAAG
rnacentral:rRNA from 1 species